rnacentral:rRNA from 1 species
UGGGGAAUAUUGGACAAUGGGCGAAAGCCUGAUCCAGCCAUGCCGCGUGUGUGAAGAAGGUCUUCGGAUUGUAAAGCACUUUAAGUUGGGAGGAAGGGCAUUAACCUAAUACGUUAGUGUUUUGACGUUACCGACAGAAUAAGCACCGGCUAACUCUGUGCCAGCAGCCGCGGUAAUACAGAGGGUGCAAGCGUUAAUCGGAAUUACUGGGCGUAAAGCGCGCGUAGGUGGUUUGUUAAGUUGGAUGUGAAAUCCCCGGGCUCAACCUGGGAACUGCAUUCAAAACUGACUGACUAGAGUAUGGUAGAGGGUGGUGGAAUUUCCUGUGUAGCGGUGAAAUGCGUAGAUAUAGGAAGGAACACCAGUGGCGAAGGCGACCACCUGGACUAAUACUGACACCGAGGUGCGAAAGCGUGGGGAGCAAACA